UUGGGUGUCGUGUCGCGGCCUGACCGUUUAUCAGCUGUCCAUCCCAAGGUGCCACUAAGGUCGGGUGGGAAGGCGAAGUCAUCACAUCCGAUCAUCUGAAGGCGCGGGUACUGGCCAAGGCUGGGAACAGAGCAGGCAAUACCGCACGAUGGGACCAGUGAGGGUGGAGAGCGGCUGAGAGGUCGGUAGCCAACACAACAACAACGA
rnacentral:SRP_RNA from 1 species